AGACUUUGAUCCUGGCUCAGAUUGAACGCUGGCGGCAUGCCUAACACAUGCAAGUCGAACGGAAACAGAUCGCUGCGAUCCCUUCGGGGUGAGCUUGAUGCUGUCGAGUGGCGGACGGGUGAGUAAUGCUUGGGAAUCUACCCAGUAGUGGGGGACAACACGGGGAAACCCGUGCUAAUACCGCAUACGUCCUACGGGAGAAAGUGGGGGAUCUUCGGACCUCACGCUAUUGGAUGAGCCCAAGUCGGAUUAUCUUGUUGGUGGGGUAAAAGCUCACCAAGGCGACGAUCCGUAGCUGGUCUGAGAGGACGAUCAGCCACACUGGGACUGAGACACGGCCCAGACUCCUACGGGAGGCAGCAGUGGGGAAUAUUGGACAAUGGGGGCAACCCUGAUCCAGCAAUGCCGCGUGUGUGAAGAAGCCUGCGGGUUGUAAAGCACUUUCANUANGAAAANAAAUGCCUGGGAUUAAUACCCCCCNGGUCUUGCCGUAACCUACAGAAAGAANCACCGGCUAACUCCGUGCCACCACCCGCGGUNAUACCGANGG
rnacentral:rRNA from 1 species